UAGAGAGAGCUCUGGGAUGUGCUGGAUUGGAGUGCAUUAAAACAUUUGCAGAUGGAAUUAAUGGCAGUUUUUUAAUGCCAAAACCUAGCAAAAAGUUGUUGAGAUUAAUCAACUCCCACACCAAUGCUACAAUAUUACUCUUUUUUUUUUUUUUUUUUUUUUUUUUUUUUGCUUCGUCCACUACACAAAGACUAUGAAGCAUUUACCAACUUGUCAGGCGCCGUGCUAGGAGACACAGUGGAGAAUACAACUCCAUGAUACCUGCUUUCAUCGUGUUUAGAGUCUAGAGGGGCAGCAAGGCGAAACUACAGACAUAAUUAAUUUUUAUACAAAGAGAGCAAGUGUACAGAAAUAUACCCGUACAUCAAAACAUUCUUUUCAACCUGACUUGCCUUCUUUCCCCUGUUCAUUAUGAUCCCAAAUUUCAAAACUCAGGUGUUGAAAAUGGGAGAGGCCUUGAGUGUGGACAGGGGAAAGGAUAAUUACAUGUUUCCUUCCCGUCCUCCCCUGCAGCUCAGUUGGAUAAGUAUUUCCUGAGCAUGUGCUGUAGGUCAGAGACUGCGCAGGCACAGAGGGCACAAGCAGGAGUACUGCUCCCCCUACCUUCCCAGUCCUCCCAGAAUGAAUCCCUCUCCUGCCCUCUGGUCCUUCUUUAUCUCCACUUGAGACAGGGCCCCUGCAGUGCUGGCCUGUGCCUUUCCUUGAUGGGUUCCAUGCUGCUUCUGAGUACAGAACUGUAAGAGGUCUGUCAACCCUCAAUAAAAUUUAUAAUUUCAAAAUUCUUCACCUAAUAAGGAUUGCCUUUCAUUAAAUCCUUGGACACCGUUUAUGAAGCCUUGUUCUUGACUCCCCCCCACCCAACACUUAAAAAAAAAAAGAAAAAAACUUCCUGCUACGAUCAGCCUGGGGAUGGUAGUUUCUGUCUCCUUUUCCCAUAUUAGGAUUUAUAAUGAUUUCUGGAUGAGUUCCUGGUCCCUUUCUUAGAAGGCAAAAGCUCUCAAUCUACUUAGUAGGGGCCAAGAGCUCUGCUUUAGAAAUCCAAUUCUGAAAGAUGAACUUGACCUUAAUACCAAAUUGCACAGCACUGUUAGACAUUUCUUAUUCUUUUCCUUUUGGACAAAUAAAUUCUAUCCCUUAUCACUCAGCUUCAGAAUACAUACCCAUAACAUUCUCCUCUGUCUGUUGCAAUGGGCUUGCUUGCCUCUUAUUUCCAAGAACACUUUCAUGCCUGUGAUCCCAGACAAAAGCUGCAGGCUGCCUCUCCCUUCUGUAAGGAUUUACCAUUAAACAGGUGGGAUUUCCCAGCCUACCCUUCCAUGGAGCAAUCACUAAUGGAGACACCACUGAGAAGGCAGAAAGUCCAACUGAAGUAGAAAAUUGAAGCUUUGGUUCCUGCCUCUCUAAUCUGCUUCCGAACACAUGCACGUGGUUUCUCCCUGUCUCAGAGAAACAGAAGGGAAUGGAGAAACUGGGUGUUGGUGGGGGGAAAAUGGGCUGGAUGAUCCCUGUAAGAAAGAAGAUUAAGUGCCACCAGGCUCAUUUACAUUUGCUCAUCCCCUGAUUCUCUGUGCCGUGGGGAAACAGUUGAAUUUACUCUGCUGAAAGGAUUCAGAAAGAACAGUUUGCAAAGAUCUUUCCACCUCAGUUCCAAAACAUUAUCUGUUGCGAGAGUGCUCAUGGGUUCCUAAUUGCUGAAAGCAGUGAUGAGUAUACAUGAAGGUCCAUUAUACUGUUCUCUCAGCAUCGUAUAUGGUAGAAAUUUGCCCUAAUGUAAAGUUUCAAAAGGAACAGUUUCAAGCUAAUCAGAUCCUUGUACACUGUUAUUUGAAGUGACAUCACCGAGGGAAGUCUGAGAUAUAUGGCUUCUAAACCAGACCCAAUUGACUGUUGACUAAGAAAAAAAUGAGCAAUUAGCUUAAUAUAUGUGCUGCCGAAGCGAGCACAGCAAUUAGCUUAAUAAACAAACAAACAAAAAAUGAAGGUACAGAAGGUGUGUCUUCUGUGAAUACUUUAAACUUGUCAGCUGCUGCAAACAGAGUGGGCCAUUUGAGUGUUUAGAUCCAUGGUGCCAAGUGCACAGGAUAUCACUGAUAGUACCAACAAGGGUGCAGUAAAUUCUGUGGGUCUUCCUAAUUCAGCUCAGAUCUCAAUGUUAGGUUACGAUGUCCUUUCUGCAACCAAAGAGGAAGGCUCCCAAUCCGCCUUAGACUGCUCCAAAGUCUCCUUUACCCGGUCAUUAUUAAGCCAAGGUGACCCUGAUCAUACUGACUCCCAAGCUGAUUUGUACAUUUACGUCUAUACUUUACAGUCAGAAAUAGUAUUUGCCUGGGCAGAAGCCAUACUGGGAAACCAGAAUAACCAUGGAAGGCCACUGGGGUUAUCUGGGGAAUCAAAGAGCAAGAGGGGCCUGUACAGACAUGUCUGCAGGACUCUGAGUCUCCUGUGGCUCCUCCACGCUCCCUCCUGAUCCCCAGCAUGUGCUAGUGGCAAGACUUACAAAGUUCCUCCUGCCAGGAAGCCAAAGGGCCCUUUUGGACCACGUCACAAUCAUUCUGCCUCCCAUCUGGACAGGCACACAUGAUAUUUCCUACUUUUCUUUUUCCUCUGUUCCUUUCAUCAUAGCUCUGUGAAGGUACAAAAGACAGGGACUAUUUCUCCAGUAAUAUUUAGUGUGCACUGAGAAUAAUAGUGAUUUGUCCAAGAGAAACUUCCUGUCCCUUCAUUCCUAGUCAUGGAAAGUUGCUAGGUGCCAGGGAGAAAAUGUUACAGUCCCAGCCCUCAAAGAGCUUAAUCCAGUGGGAGACACACAUGCAUCCAGUCCUCAUUCAAGUAAAUGUAACACCACGGCUGUGAUGAGGCUAGGAAGGAGAGGCAUAUGGUGCUCUGAUGUGGCCAGAGAGACAGAAGAAGGGCUGAUCAGGGUGCAUUUUGAAGGAAGUAGGAGUGAGUCAUGCAGAGAAUGGCUUGUGUGCAGGCUUGUGGGGGCCAGAGACAGGGCGAGGUCUAGAGUUGAGAUCAAAACCCCCAGGGGACGGAGUGUGAGAAUAGGAGGCUGUGUAUGAAAAGACCACAGGCAGGGCUGCUGCUAGUCCUCGGGCUCCCUCAGACUGAUUAUUGAAAGCACCCCUUACGCCUAGCAGAUGCAGCCCAAGCCAGAUUGGUUAGUGAGUCAAAUGUGGCCUGGAUUGUAGCCCCCUGCCCCCUUCCCGCUCCAGCCAGUCCUCCUUGUGCCAGUACAAAUCCCAUAGCAGUAUUUAGUGGCCUGGAGGCACACACAGGCAGGUGCCAGACCCUGUGGGGCCUUGGAGCAUGUGUAACGAACUGUAUUUUUAUUCUAAGAGCAAGGAGAAGCAAGAAAAUGGAUGGGUGGGUUCAUCUGUGCAAUGACCCUUCUGGCUAUUGAAGGACCACAGAAAAACAUCACCAAUUUAGAGAAAUCCACUGUGAGUAAGUUGUUCCCUGCCUUUCUUGGUGAGUCAGGCUUCCUCAGGAACCCAACUACAAAAAUACCUUUUGGGGUUAGGAAAUUGGAACUCAGGGCAAAGCGGCUUCCACUGCUCAGCAAGUAUUUCACUGCCUUUUUGGCUGUCGUGGGCCUUGCAUUGUGCCCGGAGUUACCAGUGGUACACUUGACUUGAUCUGAGGAUGUCCGUUUUGGUAAACUUUUAUCGCCAAUCCUACAGUGGAUGGGUUUGGACGUAUUUACUAACUUGUGCAUUCCCUAGCUUGCUUAAGUGUAGAAUGAGAUGUGUUUUUCCAGAUCUGUCCUAGCUCUAAAAUUAUGUGGUCAGCCAGGUUUUGUGUUUUUUUUUUUUCCUCUCCUCCUUCAGGAGCUGAAAUUAUAGCUCUGGCUAGCUGAAUCAUGUCGGCACAUUCAGGACAUGUGUCCACACCUGCUGGUAGCCACCUCGCCUCAGAGAGAAACCAGAACAUCAAGGGAUUUCCCAGAAUGAUCCUUCGUUGCUGACCCCAAGUGGAAGAAUACUGAGAAUGGGUGGGUGUGGGGGAGGGGCGAUUGGAGUCUGGAAGCUGCCUAACAAUACACAAGGGGCUGUCAUGAAUUGCUGUCAUGGUUACAUCAGCUGGCAUCCUUUUCUCUCCCCUACACCCCUUCAAAUGUGUUUCAUCACUUCUCCAGGCCUCAGUUUAUUCAUCUGUGCAAGGGGCUGUCUUUAUCUUUGAACACUCUACAGUUGUUAAACUAGAUCCUAUUUCCAUCAAGGACAGAAAACUGCAUUCUCUCUCUCUCCCACUCUGUCCCUUCUCCCUUCUCUGUCCUUUUCCUUCUCUCUAUCUUCCUGCCUCCAUUCCUCCCACCCUUUCUCACUGGGGGACUACCAGUAGAUGAAACUCCACCCAUCAGAGCCCAGUGGCAAUUGUCCCCACGAAAGCUGGGGUAGCAUAUUCAUGGGAGUUUUUGUCUAAAGCUUCCUGGGCUUUAUUGUGACUGGCAUGACUAAGAGCCCAGCUGUUGACUAAGAAAUUUCACUCAUCUCAGAUGAGAGCAGGCUCCCAAGCUCCUGCACCCACUGGAAAAAUGAAAUUAAACCCUGGAGGGUGGUGUAUGUGUUUUAUUUUCCUCCAAAUGCAACUCAAAAAUAUUUGGGUGAAACUAGUAAACAAUGGGAAUAAACUACCCACGAUGCUGCCCACUAUAACGACUCCAGUCUCUCAGGAUAACUUCUUUCAGCGUCUUUCGAGGGCUAGGAAUGAGAUGUAUUAAUCGGCGACAGUUUCUGGGCCUCUCCGCUCCGUUUCCUUUACCACCUGCUAGAAAAGAUUUUAUUUUUGUCCUGUCCAGUUCUUCCCUUCUCCAAGCCUGCAGUGAUCUUUCCCAGAUCUGGGCAGAAGGUACAGCAUAACCCAGAUACAAUUUUUUAAAACAGAAAACGUACAGAGUGACUCUGUAGGCCCAGAUGAUAAAGAACUGGUGAAGGACAGACAGAACGGUUCCAUUGCUGGACGCUGGGAAAGCCUGGGAGAGUGGGGUGGUACCCCUUGCCACAAGAGGAUCUGGAGAAGCGCCAGGAAACCAGGCUUAGAGUGGGAGAAGGAACAGCUUUGCUGUGGUGUAUGAAUUGCAAUUGCAUGAAUGUUGUUGGAGAGACAGUGGAGGUAAAGAUGGGCGGUUGUAGCUGGCCUGUGCCCAGCCUGGGUCAUAGACUGGGGAGAAGCUGCUUUUAUAUUUUUAUAUUUUCCUUUCAUAUAUGUUCAUUGUAUUUCUGAUAACAGAAUAAGGUACUAAUUAUAAAAAUUUCUCCUUCUCAGGUACAUGACAUAUAUAAAUCCACCUAACGGAGAGAAUGUAGUAUGAUUACUUUUACCCACUCAAUAGACUAGGAAUAUCUUUCCAUAUUAUUGAGUAUUUAAAAAUAGCUGCAUAGAGCACCUCUAGUAAAUUGGUGGCUCUAUAUGUUACUGCUGUAAGUUUUUCAUCAUAAAUACCACUCCUGUGAAGAUUGUUACAUCUCGGUCUUUACAUUGUAUUUGUUUCCUUUGAUUGUAUUCUGAGGAGGAGAUUUAUUGCCUGGAUGGGGAUGAAUAUUUGAAUGAAAUAAGCAACUUACUAUUAUAGGGUUUAACUCUAAAUUAUGUCCUACUGCACUACUCUUACCACUGUUUAAUUCCAUGCAUUUUAAUAGAAAUUUUUAACCUCAUCAAAGCAGUUUCACAUUAUUUUAUUCCUGAUUUCACCCAUUAAGGAAUGCAGUACUUCCUCUCUUACUUGAAACUAUUUCACAUAGCUUUUGUGUUUCCGAAGGCGGAAUCAGAGCUAAAACAUCAAGGGAUUUUUAAAAAAGAAUCUUAAUUAUCCCGAAUACGAACCUUGCCAUGAGUGCGAAUCCUUCAUCUGUUCUGUUUCAGAGAAAGUAAGCUCUUGGCGUCACCUCCCAGUCCUGUUUUCCCCCGGUCUCUCAUUUCCAAAUCAGUCAUGUUGAUAUUCAGUGCAUGAUGAAAACACGCUGACCCUCAUUGUCCUUGCCGAGUAAAAUGCUCGUUAAGCCCGUUGUGAGGGUACAAAGUUAGUAACUCAUUGUCCUUACUGACCACAAAUGUCAUAUGAAGGACUCUGUAUAUGCUGUGGGUUGUGUGUCAGUGAAGGCCACAACACCCAGUCCCUUCUCACUUCGGAACUACUGCAUCUAGUUUUCUUCUUUCUUAUCAACAACAGUGUAACCUUUGGGUAUGUAACAAUGAAGGUGGGGGCUCUGUGCCUGGAAAUCUCAGCUGAUAACCCAUCUCCUAAUGACACUCUUGCCCCUUUUAAAGAAUUAUAAUGGAGUCUCUGUGUUGGGAGUCAUAGACCUGCCUCCAAGGGCCAGGCAGGUUAUGUAAGAGAGCAGUGCAGGGCAGCUGUUAGACAAGCAGUGAUGAAUGGCGGCUCAGUGAGGGUCAUGCAAUAGAUGGUCGUAGGGACACGGGGGCUAAUUGGAGAGCAUUUGUUCCAUAGGAAAGAGAAGGCACUCUAGCCAGUCAUUGACAGGUGGAAAAGUGGGCCUCCUCUUGUUAGAUUUUCUUGUUUACAGGAAAAGCUAGAAAUCCCAAGUUGUAUGGAUUUUUUUCAAUACAAUGGGAUUCAAAUAAAAAUUCUUUUUAAACACUGUACCAUCCAAACACAAACGUGACAACAGACUGGGUAUGGCCAAUGGAGGCCAUCAUGGGACCUCUACAUACAUCUGUUGUGGCAGCUUCUGUGAGGAUUUAGAUAAACCCAAAGAGCUCAGAAAAUACGGGAGUGCUGUCCGGGGUGUGUACUAGAGCCCAGGAUAUAAUGAAAUGAAACAUCCCCUCCAAAAGAGGCAGUCUCUUUUGAAUUAUAAAAGUCUCUUAGCUCUUUGCUGCAUUUACCGUGAGAACGAAGACCGUGCUCAGCAAUCGGACUGUUGAUGUUCCAGCAAAUGUCAGUGUCACUCUGCAGGGACACACGGUGAUCGCGAGAGGCCUGCCAGGAUCCUGUGGGGGGGUGUCAGUCACAUCAGUGUACACAUCAGUCUCCUGGAAGGAGAAAGAAGAGGCUCAGAGUUGACAAACCUGGGGGAAGACAAAGGGUCAGGCUCCUGUUUGCACCAUCUGUAGUCACGUACAGAACGUGAUCAGGGACGUCACACCGGGCUUCCGUUACGGGUGGAGGUAGGGCUGUGCUUGCUUCCCCAGCAACGUCAUUCCCUGGGAGAAUGGUUCUCUUGUCGAAAUCCAAAAUUUCUUGGGUGAAAAAGACAUCUGCAGGGUUUGGAUGAGGCCAGGCCUGGCUUGUUCAGUAUCUCAAGCCCAGGAGAAUGAGUUAAUUCUUGAAGGAAACAACAUUGAACAUGGAUCAGAUUUGGCGGCUCUGGUUCAGCAAACCACAACAGUUAAAAUCAGAGAUAUCAACAAAAAGUUUGGAUGGUACCCGUGUUUCUGAAAAAGGACCCGUUCAGCAAGGCGAUGGACAAGUAAGACUGAAGUUGUCCAGCUAUAGAAACAGCAAGACCCCAGAUGGUUCCUCAGACUUAUUUGUAGUAUUUUGUUUGUUUGUUUUAUUUGUAGUAUCUUUUAAAAUGCAAUAAAAACUGGGGUGCCUGGA